GUCUUAAUCCUUCACUGACCCAACAGAGUAAAAACUUGACUAACACUAAGAGGGAUUUGGUUAUUAGAGUUCAUUGCAAAGGUUGAUUUCUCUCUUUCUCUAAAAAUAUCAUUGCACUUCUCUGGACUUUAUAUAAAUCCAAAUUGUACGUGUAUAUUGGACGAAAAGUAACAGAUUUAGGCAGACUAAAAGUUUAAAUUCACGUAAAGCGUCACACAGCACUUUUCCUUUCCCAACAACAUACAUAUAACCAAAGUAUCAAACACAGAGGUACCGGUACCACACAAAAGGAUUGCAGGUGAGACUGUCGCUUCACAUCACCAGUUCCCUACAAAAUAUAUUGCAUUUAUUAAUCAGUGCAUAGUAUUCACAAUUAUAAAUAUUAAUUCUGAUACCAUUCUUACUAGAACUG